UGGAAGCUUGCUUCCAUGAAAGUGGCGCACGGGUGAKUAACGCGUGGAUAACCUGCCCUGGUAUCCGGAAUAACAUCUCGAAAGGGGUGCUAAUACCGGAUAAGCCUACGGAGCCCUCGGUCUCUGCAGGAAAAGGKGGCCUCUAUUUAUAAGCUACCGUAUCAGGAUGGGUCCGCGUACCAUUAGCUAGUUGGUGGGGUAAUGGCCUACCAAGGCGACGAUGGUUAGCUGGUCUGAGAGGAUGAUCAGCCACACUGGAACUGARACACGGUCCAGACUCCUACGGGAGGCAGCAGUGGGGAAUUUUGCGCAAUGGGGGAAACCCUGACGCAGCAACGCCGCGUGAGUGAUGAARGCUUUCGGGUCGUAAAGCUCUGUCAGAGGGGAAGAAAUGGAAACGGUUAAUACCCGUUUUCCUUGACGGUACCCUCAAAGGAAGCACCGGCUAAYUCCGUGCCAGCAGCCGCGGUAAUAC
rnacentral:rRNA from 1 species